rnacentral:rRNA from 1 species
UACGUAGGGGGCAAGCGUUGUCCGGAAUUAUUGGGCGUAAAGCGCGUGUAGGCGGCUCGGUAAGUCUGCUGUGAAAGUCCAGGGCUCAACCCUGGAACGCCGGUGGAUACUGUCGAGCUCGAGUCCGGAAGAGGCGAGUGGAAUUCCUGGUGUAGCGGUGAAAUGCGCAGAUAUUAGGAGGAACACCAAUGGCGAAGGCAGCUCGCUGGGACGGUACUGACGCUGAGACGCGAAAGCGUGGGGAGCAAACAGG